AGGACGAACGCUGGCGGCGUGCUUAACACAUGCAAGUCGAGGGCACUUUGGGGGCAACUCUGGAGUGACCGGCGAACGGGUGCGUAACACGUGAGCGACCUUGCCUCGUGGUGGGGGAUAGCCGGCCCAACGGCCGGGUAAUACCGCAUAGGGUAGUUUCUUCGCACGGGGAGACUAGCAAAGCUGAGUAGCAAUACUUGGCGCCACAGGGGGGGCUCGCGGCCUAUCAGCUAGUUGGGGGGGUAAUGGCCCACCAAGGCGACGACGGGUAGCUGGU
rnacentral:rRNA from 1 species